GAAAAGAAACAAUCCAUGCUUCUCUUGAUAUAACUGCAAUAAAAAUAAUGUAAAAAGCAAACCUAACAAACCAUAUACGUAUGCAAUAAAUGCAUUUACGCAAAAAAAAUCAACAGGGAAUGCCAUGUUCCAAAAACGCAAGACUGACUUUACAAGUUUGAAAACUUAUGGUAUGCUUUUUAUUAAGGCGAUAGGUAUCCCGACAAUUAUAAGAAACAUGACAACGUUCUGCUUGGCCGAGUGGUCAAUAUCGCUGGCGUCGGAUCACUUACCCUUCAGCUCUGUGAGUUCUAAACCUCGUUUGCGUUGUAGAAUUAUUUCAUGUGAGGAAGUCAUCAAGCUGGUGUUACUCGAAACAAAAUUAUAUGUCGAUUGUUUCUCUGCACAUAGUCGCUGUCUGAGGAAGAUAGAGUUUUAUAUUUUGACCUAUAAACCACUUUUAGUACUGGUGUUUAUCAGAUAUUGUAAACAUUUCCAUUCUAUCCCGAUCCACUUUUGGACCGACUGUUUCAUUUUAUAUGUAAGAUUACAAUCUGUUUAUAUUCUCAUGCGUGUUUUAAGACUAAAUUUAUGUUUAAUAAAGUUUGAAUUACUAUUGAGAAAAGAUGCAUAAAUAUAUCUUACUUUUUCUCAUUGCAACACUUCUUGUUAAUGGAAUUUAUGGAGGUGAUGUGGAUGAAGUGAUUAAGAUUAGUCGAGAAGAAUUUGAAAAUCUCAAAGCAACAGUCAGUCGUCUCGAAAUCUUUGCAGAAAAUCAAGUCUUAUUGAAUCGACGGCUUGAAUCGGACCUAGAUAAACAACGUGAGGUUAUUAAGGAUCUUCAAGACGUUAUAUCACAACAAGCGGAGAAGAUUUAGCGACUUGAAGAGCUGCCGCGACAAACAGAAGCAAUCAAGUGUGGAACACCUACAAUACAGAAAAAGUCAGUGAAGUCUUCAUCAGAAAUAAAACGAUAUGCAGAAAAUUCGGUGGCAUUUUUCGCAACACUCACCAAAUCACAUGUGGAUCAUCUCGGUCUUCAUCAAAACGUUGUAUUUGAGGACGUUGUCACUAAUAUUGGCAAUGCUUACAACAAUCACCAAGGUGUGUUCGUCGCCCCUGUCAGUGGUCUCUACGUUAUUACAACUAGUUUGAGGUCAAGGAAUGACAGAGAGUUCUGGGCAGCUGUCGUAGUAAACGGUACCGAAAUUGUCAGAUUAAAUGGUCGAGGUACAGAUAACAGACAUGGCACCGGUGCACAAACAGCUAUUAUAACGCUAAAAAAAGACCAAGUAAAUUCGUCCAACGUCGCCUACAGAUACACGACGUCAACGUCAAAUAUGUGAUAAACGCAUGUUCUCCAUAUCUAAAGUGCUUAAUGAAACACGGUUCGAGGCAGAUGCCAAAUCAGCUAAAUCCAAGUGCACUUUAAAUUUACAUACAACGGUGGAGUCCAUAAACAAGUCAUCGACCAUAAAGUG